rnacentral:rRNA from 1 species
NNNNNNNNNNNNNNNNNNNNNNNNNNNNNNGAAGUUUUAUUUAUUAAAAAAAGAAUUUUUAUUUUUAUUAUUUUAAGAAAAAAUUUUGUUUAUUAUAGAUUAAAGUAUUGUGAAAGAUUUAUUUAGAUUAUAAAAAAGAAAAAUUUUAUUUCUGUACCUUGUGUAUCAGGGUUAAUUAAAAUUAAUUUUAUAUUAAAUAUUCUCGAAUUCAAAAGAGUUAAUUAAAAAUAAAUUUUAUUGUGAAAUAAAUAUUUAUAAUUUUUAAUUAGAAAUGAAACGUUAGUCGUUUUUGGAUAUAUCUAGUUUUUAAAGAAAUAAAUUUAAUUUAGUUAUUAGUAAAUUAAAAUUUUAAUUUUUUAAUUUUUUAUUUAUUAAUAGAAAAUAUUUAUAGGGAUAAGCUUAUAAUUAAAUUAUUAUAAUAAAAUAAUAUUUUAAAUAAAUUAUAGAAUUAAAAAUUUUCAUUGAUAAAAAAUUGUUAUAAUUAAUUAUUUAUUAAAUAAGAUUUUUAUUUUAUUUAAUUUUUUUAUUUAAAUAUAAAUUUUAAUUUUAAAAAUUUAGGAAUAAUGAUUAAAUUAGUAUAAUUUUAUGUUUACAAUAAUUUUAAUUUAAGGUUAAAUUAAGGAAUUCGGCAAAUUUAUUUUUCACCUGUUUAUUAAAAACAUGUCCUUUUGAUUAUAAUUUAAGGUCUAAUCUGCCCACUGAGGAUUUGAAUGGCCGCGGUAUUUUGACCGUGCAAAGGUAGCAUAAUAAUUAGUUUCUUAAUUAGAAGCUGGAAUGAAGGAUUGAAUGAGAAAAUAACUGUCUCAAUUUAAAUUAUUUAGAAUUUUAUAUUUAAGUAAAAAAGCUUAAAUUUUAUUAAAAGACGAGAAGACCCUAUAGAGUUUAAUAAAAUUUUUUUUAUUAAAAUUUAUUUUUUAUUUUUUAAUAUUAAAUUUUUUAUUUUGUUGGGGUGAUAGAAAAAUUUAAUUAACUUUUUUUAUAUUUUAACACUAAUAAGUGAUAAUUUGAUCCAAAAUUUUUGAUUAAAAGAUAAAAUUACC